UUUGACCAAUAUUUGGGGCGGUAUUUUUCUAUAAAAAUAUUUUAGGGGGCGCUUUGACCAAAAUCAGAGGACGCUUUGACCAAUAUUUGAGGGCAGUAUUUUCAUAUCAAAAUAUUUUAGGGGGCGCUUUGACCAAACUCAGUGGACGCUUUGACUAAAAUUAAGGGAAGCUUUGACCGGGACGCUUUUAUUAGGGGUACGUGCUUUGACUGGCUCCCGGUCAUCGAAAAAGUGUCUAUGACCAUAGAAUACAACUCCAGAAACAAAGAAUUCAGUAAACUUCCUCCAAAAUUUCAGGUCUCACUUCAGGUUUUAAUCCAAAACCAGUAGAGAGGGAACAGACUGAUAAUAAGUUGUUUGGAUCUCUUGAACCUUUAUCCACGACAAGAGAAGAAAAUUGUUACAAACUGAAGAAACCAGAUAUGUCAACCAAACAGAUAAUACUGGAAGAACCAGAACAUAUCACUACUAUAAAUACUGGGUAUGAAAAACUCCGCAAUGUUACCUGUCUCAGUGAAGAAGAAAUCUGGACAAGUGGAGAAGUCAGUGAUAUGAAAUGCUUCAAUAUUCAAGGUAUACUAAUAAAAACAGAUAAAAUAAAAUCACGUGAUUGGCCAUGUGAUAUAGCAGUGACAGGUGAUGGAGGUCUAGUGUACUCUGAUGGGACAAGAAAGACUGUGAAUAAAGUAAAGAAUGGACAGACAGAGGAGAUGAUCAGUCUAUGGGACUGGUCACCUAGUAAUAUCUGUAUCACCUCCUCUGGUGAUCUCCUGGUUACCAUGUUCAGUGAUGAUAAAACACAAUCCAAAGUUGUCUGUUACUCAGGCUCCACAAAGAAACAAACAAUCCAGUUUGAUGAGGAGGAUAAACCUCUGUAUUCAGAAAAUGGCUAUAUUAAAUACAUCAGUGAGAACAGAAACCUGGAUAUCUGUGUGGCUGACUGUGGAGCUGGUGCUGUAGUGGUGGUCAACCAGGCUGGAAAACUCCGAUUUAGAUACACCGGCCAUCCUUCUACCACAAAGAACAAACCAUUUAAACCCUUUGGCAUCACGACAGACAGCCAGAGUCAGAUCCUGACAGCAGACUUUAAUAACAACUGUAUCCACAUCCUAGACCAGGACGGACAGUUUAUCUGUUACAUAGAUAACUGUGAUCUAUGGAUACCGUAUGGUUUAUGUGUGUAUAAAAAUAAUUUGUUUGUUGCUGAGUUGAGAGGAAAAGUUAAGAAAAUUAAAUAUUUGGAAUAAACAUCUUUGUAUAUAUCUAUAUUUAUUCGUGUGUAUAGGCUGUCAUUAUAUGGCUCUAUUUUGUAAACAAAAUUGUUUCAUUAUCAUGAUUAUGUAAGUUAUAAUUUUAUUGAGAACACAAUUAUUUUAUCUUUCAAGUUAGCAGAGUAGAUAGGGAAAAUGUAGCCAAUUGCAAUUUACAUCAACAGCAAGUUACGAUAUAAUAUAUAAUAUUAGUUGCCAAAGCAAUUUGUAACGUCAAUGAAAUGAUUUUUCAUUGUUAUGAUGAUAUAAGAUUGGAUAUAAUUUUAUUAUCUGCUUGAUUUCACGUUUGAUGGAAUUAAUUGACAAUCCUUAAAAAUAAUUCUUUUGAAGUCCUUAUGACAACUUUUUACAUAUUCAUGAUAUUUAAGACAUAAAAUUGUUGAAAAACUUGAACGGAAGUAUUACUUAAAUAUGAUUUC